AGGUUCUGUUAAAGGGAGAGAGCUAGAUUCUCUCUCCAUAUAACAGAACCUACAGAAGGGAGGUUCUGUUAAAGGGAGAGAGCUAGAUCCUCUCUCUCUUUAACAUAACCUACAGAA